UACGUAUGGGGCAAGCGUUAUCCGGAUUUACUGGGUGUAAAGGGAGCGUAGGCGGCGGGGCAAGCCUGAUGUGAAAGCCCGGGGCUCAACCCCGGGACUGCAUUGGGAACUGCCCUGCUGGAGUGCCGGAGGGGCAGGCGGAAUUCCUAGUGUAGCGGUGAAAUGCGUAGAUAUUAGGAGGAACACCAGUGGCGAAGGCGGCCUGCUGGACGGUGACUGACGCUGAGGCUCGAAAGCGUGGGGAGCGAACAGG
rnacentral:rRNA from 1 species